UACGGAGGGGGCUAGCGUUGUUCGGAAUUACUGGGCGUAAAGCGCACGUAGGCGGCUUUGUAAGUCAGAGGUGAAAUCCCGGGGCUCAACUCCGGAACUGCCUUUGAGACUGCAUCGCUUGAAUCCAGGAGAGGUGAGUGGAAUUCCGAGUGUAGAGGUGAAAUUCGUAGAUAUUCGGAAGAACACCAGUGGCGAAGGCGGCUCACUGGUCCGGUACUGACGCUGAGGUGGCGAAAGCGUGGGGAGCAAACAGG
rnacentral:rRNA from 1 species